AAGAAGUUGGCCUUAGCCAGAAUGGAGAUACCUGAUCAUCAGAGGCUGGAGGAAAGCAGGUUCCUCAAAAAACAAACAACAACAAAAAAACAACAAAACAUGAAGAAGCCAAAUCUGGAGGAUGAGUUUUCCAAAUUAAACACUGAAUAUUGUUGUAGAGUAAAAUGAUACUGUUUGUAAAGAGAUGUUUUUACUAGACAUCCUCUUCCUAGCCACCUAUUAAGGAAUAACUAGAAUAUAUAUUAACAGCAAGACAUCGGAAAUUAUCUUUGCACCUGACAAAAUGUUAAGGUGAGAGGGGAAGCCAGCUGGGCUUCUGGGUUGGGUGGGGACUUGGAGAACUUUUCUGUCUAGCUAAAGGAUUAUAAAUGCAGCAAUCAGCACUGUGUAAAAAUGCACCAAACAGCACUCUGUAAAAUGGACCAAUUGGCUCUCUGUAAAAUGAACCAAUCAGCAGGAUGUGGGCUGGGCCAAAUAAGGAAUAAAAGCUGGCCACCCCAGCCAACAGCGGCAACCCACUUGGGUCCCCUUCCCCACUGU
rnacentral:lncRNA from 10 species